AUCCUUUUGUAGUUCGUGAGCAUGAUGAUCGCGUGUUCACACGCUUCUGUGAGAUGCGACGCGCUUGAACCUUGUUACCAUGUCGGCACAUUACCCAUCUGACC
ensembl:snoRNA